rnacentral:lncRNA from 1 species
GAAAAUGUUGCCACAAAGAAAAAAGAAAUCGGAGAGACUGAAAGUCCGUAUGAGCAUAAUGCAUUCCAUAAGGAAAACUCACUAGGGAGAUAAAGACUCUGGGGGAUAAAAAGUUGUCUGUAGGCCAGGCUACGACUUAAAACUGCUGGAGACACAAUAGGAUUCCAUGAAAAUAAAUCAAUGGAAGGACUUAGCCGGGAAUAAGGGGAAAAUCUGCAGGGGAAACAGGUAAAUCAGAACAAAGCUGAAAUACUCGAACCAAAGAGGAAAAUGGUGAUUUCA